rnacentral:lncRNA from 1 species
UGCGUGGAGAACGUGACUGAACCAGGCCAGCUGCUGGAGGCAGACCUGCCUGUGGAGAGACCCCCCGAGACCCUGGGGGAGGCGGCGCAGGACACCCAGCAAGGUGGAGCGGAGGGGAGUGUCUGCAGCCGCUGCUGCACCCGGAUCCCCACUCCCCACCACUGUCCUGCUCCCAGUGGGGACUCGAGGUGAGUUCCCCAUCAUGCCCCACAUGCCAGUUCCUCCCUGGAGGGUUCUGCCCUGACGGUCUGUGUCACCUCUGAUGUCUAGGGGGAUACAGCUGUGCAUGUCCUGCAUGGGCACCCUGGACACAGGCGGUCUAGGAACCACUGCAGCAGCUGGAGACCAACUGCUUCCAGCAGCCAAGGCAGAGGAUGGAGCCCUUGGCAGUGACCCUGUGCUGAGCCGGGAGGAGCUUGACGCGCUGCUAGGGGAGGUAAGACUGCGUGACACCAACAGGCAGACUCCAUGCAAAGGGGACCAUGUCUCUGGUGUGGCCCACAGGGGGUCAUGGGCACAUGGGUCAGGCAGCAUGUGCCUGGACAGGGGAAAGGAUGUGGGAUGGAAAGAGAAAAUGAACACCGGGGGCUAUCCCACAGAGCACGUGGGAUGGGAUCUUGCAGUGGGCAUUCCAGACCAUGGCACGGCCGCUGGCAGAAACACAGGGGCUCCUUGCCUAGUGCAGACACCAAGCAGCACAAUCCACAUGGCAACCAAUGAGAAAGAAAGCUCGGAGACACACGUAAAACAAGAUGAAUGCAGGCAUAAUGAUAGCACAAAGAAGUCACAGAAUACAACACUGACCGUCAACAGGACAACCGACAAUGGCACAAACAGAGCAAAAUGGCAGGCUACACCCACUGACACUCAGCAGAGAACAAGCGCACUGAAAAUGUACAUAAAAUACAGGCCAGAGCAAAUAAAAUUCA